CAGGAAAGGUUUGGACAGGGUUGGAGGGGUUCAAUAUCAGGACCUGUCAUUGUACAAUACAAUGCAACCGACAUCAUGUAGGUGUUUACAGGCCUCAGGUGUAGGUGCAAAAUAUGUCAAGAUGAUCUUCUUGUCCUGCAGUGAGUAUACACAUCUUUGUCACCUCGUCCCUACCCACCAAGACAAGACAAGACCAGUCAAAACCGAACAGAACAGGGUGAGGGUCCACACCAUACGUCUCCAGCUCCUGGGCCUUCUGCAGGAAGUUCAGCUCGGACUCUUCUGGAGUCUGUCCUCUGGGAGAUGAGGACACAACAGACAGAUUACUGUGGGCUGUGUGGUGAUGGAUGGAAAAGGUUCCAGCGGUAAGCUAAUGAUUUGUAAAGGGAAUUUCCUUUCAUUCAUUUCAGUGAGUGAAAGAUGAGAGAGACCAACACUAGAGGGCAGCAGAGGUAAGAUCCCAUAGGUGGUCUACAGUAGUAGAGUCUGUAUAUAUGGAUACU